UUAUUGUGCUAUUUAAAAUAAAAAAACUGUUUUAAAAUCUUUUUUACUUUAGCCACUUUUUUUUAAAGAAAAAAAAAUCCUUAAUGCUCUCUAACUCUCCCCAUUUCCCCUUUUCUUUUCAGCCGAAAGGCUCAUCUCAAGCCCUCAGCCACCCUCCAAAAUCUGAUUACGACCAACAAAGCAAGACCCUUCGACAGCGAAAACACGAUGCAACUCCGAUGUGUCAGGUGUGGGUGGUGCACGUGAUGGCCAAAGGCAGAGGGGCAUGCGGCUGAACUUUGGUGGCUGCAUCUUAGGGAAGUGUUUACUGCUGAAAAAAAACCUUAAGCAAGUGGGCUAUUAUUUGGGCUAGGGUCUGAUGUAAAUUGGGCUGUUUAAUAUUGUAAAUGGGCUAUUUAUUUGGUUAUGUUUGGAUUUGGUUUUAUUGGGCCCCAAGUAAAGUUUAGGUCUUACAAUAAUAUAUGAUAAUAAUUAUCUUUUAGUAA